rnacentral:rRNA from 3 species
UACGGAGGGUGCAAGCGUUAAUCGGAAUUACUGGGCGUAAAGCGCACGCAGGCGGCUUUUUAAGUCGGAUGUGAAAGCCCCGGGCUCAACCUGGGAAUUGCAUCUGAUACUGGGAAGCUAGAGUAUGUGAGAGGGGGGUAGAAUUCCAAGUGUAGCGGUGAAAUGCGUAGAGAUUUGGAGGAAUACCAGUGGCGAAGGCGGCCCCCUGGCACAAUACUGACGCUCAGGUGCGAAAGCGUGGGGAGCAAACAGG